AUUGAACGCUGGCGGCAGGCCUAACACAUGCAAGUCGAACGAGUGGCGGACGGGUGAGUAAUGUCUGGGAAACUGCCCGAUGGAGGGGGAUAAAUACUGGAAACGGUAGCUAACACCGCAUACCAUUGGAGGUGCCCAGAUGGGAUUAGCUAGUAGGUGGGGUAUAGGCUCACCUAGACGACGAUCCCUAGCUGGUCUGAGAGGAUGACCAGCAACACUGGAACUGAGAGACGGUCCAGAAUCCUACGGGAGGCAGCAGUGGGGAAUAUGGCGCAAUGGGCGAAAGCCUGAUGCAGCCAUGCAGCGUGUAGGAAGAAGGCCUUCGGGUUGUAAAGUACUUUCAGCGGGGAGGCGUUACUCGCAGGAGAAGCACCGGCUAACUCCGUGCCAGCAGCCGCGGUAAUAC
rnacentral:rRNA from 1 species